rnacentral:lncRNA from 1 species
UUAGGUGAAGAGAGAAAAGUCAAUGGAAAAGGUGUGAUGUGAUAAUUGAUGCACGUGAUUAGCAGAUGGACGAUGCGACGUGACGACGGUGCAAAAAUUAGAGGCAUGCCAUGCAAACAAUGAUGGCGCGUUGCCCAAAUGAGGGCGAUACGCUGCCCAAGUUAGUGGUGCCAGUUGCCCAAAGGCGGCGCACGACACUCAAGGGGGCGGCGCACCCUUCUGGAGGCAGUGUGCACAGCCCAAGCCAGCCAUGCACUACAGACCUAGCUUCCCACGCACAAGCUUAGCCUGUCUUGCGUGCAAGCUUUAUAGCACGCAAGGCACUGCGCAUAGGCCUACCGUGUAGACGGCGCACGUAGACCGCACGUCACACCCUGCACAAAUAGGACUUGCGCACAGUACGCAUGUCCUGUGCUUGCCGUGCGCAUGGCAUGAAGAGCCCGCGCAAGCAAGAUCCUUCCCGUGGGAUUUUAAGACUUUUUCUCCAUUUUUCAAUAA